AUGGUGUCAUCCCUCCUGUGACC
rnacentral:miRNA from 1 species